AGAGUUUGAUCCUGGCUCAGAUUGAACGCUGGCGGCAGGCCUAACACAUGCAAGUCGGGCGGUAACACAGGGAGCUUGCUCCUGGGUGACGAGCGGCGGACGGGUGAGUAAUGUCUGGGAAACUGCCUGAUGGAGGGGGAUAACUACUGGAAACGGUAGCUAAUACCGCAUAACGUCGCAAGACCAAAGAGGGGGACCUUCGGGCCUCUUGCCAUCAGAUGUGCCCAGAUGGGAUUAGCUAGUAGGUGGGGUAACGGCUCACCUAGGCGACGAUCCCUAGCUGGUCUGAGAGGAUGACCAGCCACACUGGAACUGAGACACGGUCCAGACUCCUACGGGAGGCAGCAGUGGGGAAUAUUGCACAAUGGGCGCAAGCCUGAUGCAGCCAUGCCGCGUGUAUGAAGAAGGCCUUCGGGUUGUAAAGUACUUUCAGCGGGGAGGAAGGUGUUGUGGUUAAUAACCACAGCAAUUGACGUUACCCGCAGAAGAAGCACCGGCUAACUCCGUGCCAGCAGCCGCGGUAAUACGGAGGGUGCAAGCGUUAAUCGGAAUUACUGGGCGUAAAGCGCACGCAGGCGGUCUGUCAAGUCGGAUGUGAAAUCCCCGGGCUCAACCUGGGAACUGCAUUCGAAACUGGCAGGCUAGAGUCUUGUAGAGGGGGGUAGAAUUCCAGGUGUAGCGGUGAAAUGCGUAGAGAUCUGGAGGAAUACCGGUGGCGAAGGCGGCCCCCUGGACAAAGACUGACGCUCA
rnacentral:rRNA from 1 species